UUCUGCUCGGCGAGCUGCGGCAGCACCAGGCCGGUCUCGGCGGUCCAGGCGCUGGUGUCCAGCGCGGCGCCGUUCAGCUCGGCCCGCAGGACC
rnacentral:tRNA from 1 species